rnacentral:rRNA from 1 species
UGAACUUAAGCAUAUCAAUAAGCGGAGGAAAAGAAACUAACAAGGAUUCCCCUAGUAACUGCGAGUGAGCGGGAAAGCUCAAAUUUAAAAUCUGGCGGUCUUUGGCCGUCCGAGUUGUAGUCUGGAGAAGCGUCUUCCGCGCUGGACCGUGUACAAGUCUCUUGGAACAGAGCGUCAUAGAGGGUGAGAAUCCCGUCUUUGACACGGACUACCAGUGCUUUGUGAUGCGCUCUCAAAGAGUCGAGUUGUUUGGGAAUGCAGCUCAAAAUGGGUGGUAAAUUCCAUCUAAAGCUAAAUAUUGGCGAGAGACCGAUAGCGAACAAGUACCGUGAGGGAAAGAUGAAAAGCACUUUGGAAAGAGAGUUAAACAGUACGUGAAAUUGCUGAAAGGGAAACGAUUGAAGUCAGUCGCGUCGUCCAGAACUCAACCUGGCUUUUGCUUGGUGCACUUUCUGGUUGACGGGCCAGCAUCAGUUUCGGUCGUCGGAGAAAGGCCUUUGGAAUGUGGCACCUUCGGGUGUGUUAUAGCCUUGGGUCAUAUACGACGGUUGGGACUGAGGACCGCAGCACGCCUUUUGGCCGGGGUUCGCCCACGUACGUGCUUAGGAUGCUGGCGUAAUGGCUUUAAACGACCCGUCUUGAAACACGGACCAAGGAGUCUAACAUGCCUGCGAGUGUUUGGGUGGAAAACCCGAGCGCGUAACGAAAGUGAAAGUUGGGAUCUCUGUCGCGGAGAGCACCGACGCCCACACCAGACCUUCUGUGACGGAUGUGCGGUCGAGCAUGUAUGUUGGGACCCGAAAGAUGGUGAACUAUGCCUGAAUAGGGUGAAGCCAGAGGAAACUCUGGUGGAGGCUCGUAGCGAUUCUGAC